rnacentral:lncRNA from 1 species
CAUCUCCUGAGACCCCACCGGAAGCCCUGGACACCGUCCAUUCUCAUGACACGGGACUGAGGGAGCAGGAGGGAGUGACAACAGGAGUGCAUCCACCUCCUCCUCAGGCUUGAGCGAGUGCCACUGGGCGAUGGGCCUCCGGGGGUUGGCCAGCAUGUCGGACCAGUGCCGCAGCUCUGUGCCCGUGGCAUUGCUGCCCACGAAGAUCUUGCCUAUGGCUUCGUUCUUGCCCAGCUUGUCAUAGUCCAGCACGGUGACCACUACCUGGACUUUCUGCAAGGAAAACGAGGGAGGGAGUUGGCAGACAGAGACGUGGGAUCCCAUGACCAAAUUUAUCCUCCAUCAACCUCUACUCCCAAUGAUUGGGAAGGUAAGGCCUCCUGGGGCUCCUUGGUUUCAUCUCUGCUCCAGUGAAGACUGAAUUGACAUGGAGGCAGAGGCCACGCCUUUGGCAGCCUUUGUUUCUACCACUGGGCAUUUAUUGAGGAUGUACUGUGCUCUAGACCCUGUUAAGCACUUGGAGGGGGAGAAGAGGGAAGGAAAAGUGAAAAGAUGAAUUUCACUUCCUCAAUGAGAUCAGCAGACAUGUAACUGAAAACUUACAACAUGAAUUGAUAAAGGUUAUGCUAGAGAGAUGGGCACAAGGUACUGUGGAAACUUAGAGGAGGUGACAGUCCUGGGGCCAAUCAGAAAAGGCUUCACAGAAGAGGUGACUGGGACAUGAAGUCUGAGAAUUUCUCUAGGAGGAGAAAAGAAGGAAGAGGAUUCCAGGAAAACAGAUUUGCUUGGGUAGAGGCAUAGAGACCUGAGAGUGCAUUUGGCAUCUGAGAAACAUUAGAUGUUCAGUCAUUGAGGUAUAGGGUGAGAAGCAGUGAGGCAGGAAAUGAGGCUGGUAGAGUAGGUUGGGGUCAGCCAAGGAGUCUGCAUUUUGUCUUUCAGGCAAGCAGUAGGGGACUCCUGACGACUUUAAGAAAAGGAGUGUCGUGGACAUUUGAGAGAGAGAGCCCUGGCAUUGAGUUGGAAGAUUUACUGGAGGAGGAGUGGGCCUAAUGGCAGGGAAGAGACCCAUUGGAGGAUGCUGGAGGGUCUGGGAGGAUGGAUCCCGAAUACCUGUACCAAGGCAGGGACAGUGGGGAUGGGAAGUCAAAACCAGGUUGGAGAGGUAUUUAGGAAGAGAAUCAAGAGGACUUGAUGAUCAGCUGGAUUUGCUGAAUGCUCGAUGCCUUUUUCCCCUGUGACUCCAGCCAACUCAGAUUUGUCCUUCAGGACCAAGCUCUCUCUGGGAAGCCUCACUACAGUCCUCCGCUUCAUGGACAUUGAAGCUGUCGUCUCACUGUGCUUUACUAGACUGUUUACUGGUGCCCUCCCACUGUGAGGUCCUUGAGAGCAAGGAGUGUGUGGAUUACACACUUAUUUCCUCAUCCCCUAGCCUACCACUUAGGAAAUGCUCAGUAAAGUAUGUUGGAUAAAUGAGAAAGGAAAAAGGAAAUAGUCAGUCUAAGGUGACGCCCAGGUUUCUGACUUGGGCCACUGGGUAAAUGAUGGACUGUGGGGUCAUUCAUUGAAAACAGAAUUCAGAUGAAACAGGCUUGGCUGGGAAGAGGUAGGAAGAAGAACAUUACAUUGGUUUUAGGCAUGUUGAAUUUGAGAUGCCUGGGUCAGGAUGCUCUAGAUCUAAAAUUCUCUGUAAUGAGGACUUCUCUUGGAUUAACAUUAUCACUGAGCUGCCCAGUGUUCCCUUGAAGUAUUCCAUCAAUAACAUCAUACACAUCUCCAUAGAUGACAGAACCAACUCUGAAGAUUCUCUUGUACCCUUGCCCCCAGCCCUCCUGCGGGGAGGAGAGGGGGUGGGAUCAGCUCACUACAAAGAAGGAGAGACCAAGACUCCAUGAUAACCGACCACUCUGCAAGCCCCCAGCUGCGCCUGACUUCCCGCCCAAAUGGGUGGGUGGGUGGGUCUCUUGUCCUACCACGUCCAGAUCCCACUCAUACCUGGAAAUGGUGAAAACCAGACCUCAUCUCCAACAUUUACAGAACUUGCUGGUGAGAAGGAAGGAAAAAUAGAGAAGGCUGGAAGGGUGGAGGGAGAGAGGAGAGGAAGCAGAUCAGAGGAGUAGAUGGGAAAGACCUAGAGAGCAGUGGAAGUGGGGCAGGGAUGGCCAAGACAGGAUGUGGCUGGAGAGGAUGGAGGUGGCAGCGGCCACUCCCACCCUCUCAGCCAGCUCCCAACCCCUCUGGCACCUUUGCUAUACCCCCAUACAUCUGUGUGCAUGACCAUGGUCCUUCAAGUCCUAAACGAAUGAUUUGCAGAAUUUUUUGAAUUAGUUCAUGUUUAUCUCCUCAGAAAAGGGGGAUCCCUGAAGCACUUGGGAAGGAGGCCCCACCCAGGCACCAUUAGACCUCGAGCCUUCCCCUACCAAGAAAGGCUGUUCCAUGGUCUCUAGACAAGAAACUGAGGCCAAAGAACGGAAAUGACCUGCCCGAGGUCACACAGCGGGUCAGUGACAGAGCCAGGCUGGCACUGAAACGCGCUGGUUGGAGCCCAUGCCCAGGGCUGAUUCUCUGGGAAGGCAGCUGAGGCAGCAGGCUUCAUCCACUAGAGCCCUGUGCCAUGGGCCAGCCCCAUUCACUGCCAGGUCUCUCCACUCCUCAAUGGGCUGGCCGAGGUCCACUGUGUUCAUAGGCACCUUUACCUCUCCAAUGAUGUCAUGUUUGGAGAAGCGGUCAAAGUCAUAGAUGGCCAUCACCAGAGUUUUGCCCCCAAGCUCCUGGUAUGGCACCUGCAGGGCACAAGCAGAAUCAGAGGGGGCCAGAGCGACUCACGCACCUCCAGGGGUGCUAUGGGCAGGGGCCUGCAUUCCAGCCCACAGGGUCCAGCUCAGGCCCCACGCAUCCUGGGCAAGACAUACCAGAAGUACGGUCCAGGCAGACAGGAGCAGAGUGAGCCCACAGAGGUGGAGAGAGAAAGAAGAAAGUGAUGUAAGAGAAAAUCCUGCAGCUCAAACCAGCCCCUGAAGUCACCACAGCCACUCCUCAAGACCAGGAAGGGCUACACCCAAGUCAUCCUGGAACCCCUCCCAACACACUCUCACACUCACACACACUGCAGGUUCCUUUUGGGCCCACAUACAUACACAUACCUGCAUGUGCAAGGACAUAUACACACACACAUGCACUCAAAGGCCAUUUAGAUCCCUGGCUUCUGAGAUCAAGCCCUUCCCUCCAUCCUCCAUAUGGAUUCCUUGAGCAAGAGAUUCCUCCUAGUCACCCCCAAACAAACAUGGGGGAAAUGGAAGCACACAGAGGCCUCUGCAAACUUAAAAGAAGAAAAGGAGCUUUCUAGGCUGACCAACACCAAAAGACAGGGGAAAAUAAAUUAUGAUAUGAUUAAUGAUGGA